GUGGGGAAUUUUGGACAAUGGGCGCAAGCCUGAUCCAGCAAUGCCGCGUGCAGGAAGAAGGCCUUCGGGUUGUAAACUGCUUUUGUACGGAACGAAACGGCUCUGGUUAAUACCCGGGGCUAAUGACGGUACCGUAAGAAUAAGCACCGGCUAACUACGUGCCAGCAGCCGCGGUAAUACGUAGGGUGCAAGCGUUAAUCGGAAUUACUGGGCGUAAAGCGUGCGCAGGCGGUUGUGUAAGACAGGCGUGAAAUCCCCGGGCUCAACCUGGGAAUUGCGCUUGUGACUGCACAGCUGGAGUGCGGCAGAGGGGGAUGGAAUUCCGCGUGUAGCAGUGAAAUGCGUAGAUAUGCGGAGGAACACCGAUGGCGAAGGCAAUCCCCUGGGCCUGCACUGACGCUCAUGCACGAAAGCGUGGGGAGCAAACAGGAUUAGAUACCCGAGUAGUCC
rnacentral:rRNA from 1 species